GUCCACACAUUAUGUUGUUUGUUUUUUCCACUGUUUUUUUGCUUUUAUGGUUUUUGCUGGUUUUUUAUUGUUGCAUUUUUGAACUGCAGGUAUUGGGUAAGA
rnacentral:ribozyme from 12 species